GCUAGAUAGAUGCAAAUGUAUGUAUUUAAUUGUCUCUUUCAAUGAUAUUUGAGUGCCUUUUGCUGAAGGGCACAAAAGGCAAUUGUGCCCUGUUUCAAUGGCAAAAAUGCACCCAAUUCAGAAACUGUGGAAGCCCCACUCUAUAUUAGGUGGAAAGCAGAAAGUCCAUCAAACUGGCUUCAAAUGACAAGUGAGCUCAUUUAUCCAAACAGAAAUGAGCAUGUUGCAAUCACUUAAUAAUGUCUCCCUUGCAGGUUCCAUUCUUGUUUCAACUUUGGCAUCACCAUUUACAUUAGCCGUGCAUUUGCUAAAUUUGCCAAAGCUUCAUAAUCUUUUUGCAGGUUGGUUCUUUAGAUCCUGGAAAACUCAUAAAAAUACUCAAAUCAUCAAUACCCAGUCUGUAAGUGCAUUCAACUGUGAUGUUUCUCCCUCCAGCAUUCACCAAAUUGUGACAUUCACAUUUUCUGUAGUGUGCUAUUUCAGUUCUUAGAAAGACAUUGAAAACUAAGAUAACUCUGAAAUGGGCAUUAGUACUGGUUAAGUGACUCAAACCCAAGACCGGUGAAUGCAACUGCAAUAGCUUGGCUAUUGUGUUCAGUGAAUUGGUUUUCUCUUUAGGUAGACUUUUGCACUAAUAACUUCAUAUAUGUUUUUCUGUAUCCUUAUCAGAUUUUACAAGUUUUAAAGAACUGUCUAACUUUUAAGUGGGAGCAGAAAAUCAGUUGAGUUUGUUGUCCUGAUAUACUUUAAAAAGAAAAAAAAAGGUUGGACUGUCAAAAAGAAAUGGGUCAUCUGAUGUGUAUCGUAAUCUGCCUGUAGUACCGGAUUUAUGUCGAUCUUUAUUGAAUAAUAAUAAUAAUCUAUUUUUCCAUCAUGAGCAAGGAUUUUGAUGUCUACAUUUGACAUGAAGGAUGAAUCCAAGGAAGUGAUUUGGCAAGGUGAGAUUGCUGGAGUAGAUGUGGCUUUGGAUACAUUCAAGGCUGAAAAGGCAUUUCCUAUGUGCAAACUCACACGUUUGUUGCAUGAUUCAUGGGGUGGGAGGACUAAGACAUUUAUAAUUGGUGGGCCUGUCAAAAUUGGACUGGGCCUGUCCUGUUCAUUUGGUGGACUUAAAAAUAGGCCUGUGCUUGACUUGCAGGCCUAAAAUUAGCUCAAGUUGGGACCAUGGGGGCCAGGUUCGUAGAGGCCUUGUCUCUAUGGGAACUGCACCAAAAUAUUGUUGGAGACUAGCAAGCCUUGAUCUCUAAGGAGACUCGUGGGGCUUCCAACCUUUUCUCGACAAACCUUCUUUUACUACUGUAAAAUUCAUGCUACUUGUGGGAGGAGUGCUAAUACUGGAAAGGAUAAUGGGGUCAAUCAAAGCAC